rnacentral:rRNA from 1 species
GUAGUCCACGCCGUAAACGAUGGGCACUAGAUCCCCGGGGGAGCGACCCUCUAGGGGUCGGCGCUAACGCAUGAAGUGCCCCGCCUGGGGAGUACGGCCGCAAGGCUGAAACUCAAAGGAAUUGACGGGGGCCCGCACAAGCGGUGGAGCAUGUGGUUUAAUUCGACGCAACGCGAAGAACCUUACCUGGGCUUGACAUGCACAUGAACUCGUGGGGAAACCUGCGGGGCUCUUCGGAGCGUGUGCACAGGUGCUGCAUGGCUGUCGUCAGCUCGUGUCGUGAGAUGUUGGGUUAAGUCCCGCAACGAGCGCAACCCUUGUCCCUAGUUACCAGCGGAUAAUGCCGGGCACUCUAGGGAGACUGCCGGUGCCAAACCGGA